rnacentral:misc_RNA from 1 species
GAUGAAGAACGUAGCGAAAUGCGAUAAGUAAUGUGAAUUGCAGAAUUCAGUGAAUCAUCGAAUCUUUGAACGCACAUUGCGCCACUUGGUAUUCCGAGGGGCAUGCCUGUUCGAGCGUCAUUAUAACCCCUCAAGCUCAGCUUGGUGUUGGGGCCUGCCGCACGGGCAGCCCUUAAAAUCAGUGGCGGUGCCAUCUGGCUCUAAGCGUAGUAAUUCUUCUCGCUAUAGAGUUCCGGUGGAUGCUUGCCAUUAACCCCCAAUUUUCUAUGGUUGACCUCGGAUCAGGUAGGGAUACCCGCUGAACUUAAGCAUAUCAAUAAGCGGAGGA